UGCAAGCCUCUGCAGAGGCGCUGGAGCUGGGUCAGUCCGCCGCUCACCCCGCGGCCGCACCUUCCCGCCUUCUCAGCUUACAUGGCGUCUUCAACAAAAAGUAAUUGUUUAGAGAAGUGACAAGAUGAAGGAGGACUCUGAGUCCUAGUCUCCCUCCUCGAGUCCCUGUGUGAGCAGAGGUAAACAAUGAAAACUCACCAACCAGGAGAAAUUCACCUAGGACUGGCGCAGAAGGUAUACACCAUGAGCCUGGAAAUGAUUUAAAAAACAACACAGGCUGGGCGCGGUGGCUCACACCUAUAAUCCCAGCACUUUGGGAGGCAGAGGCGGGCGGAUCACUUGAGGUUUGCGAGUUGGAAACCAGUCUGACCAACGUGGAGAAACCCCGUCUUUACUAAAAAUACAAAAUUAGCCAGGUGUGGUGGCGCAUGUCUGUAAUCCCAGCUACUGGGGAAGCUGAGGCAGGAGAAUCCCUUGAACCUGAGAGAUGGAGGUUGAUGUGAGCUGAGAUCACACAAUUGCAGUCCAGCCUGGGCAGCAAGAGUGAAACUCCAUCUCAAAAAAACAAAAAAAACAACCCACAACUGUGGGCCAAAGGGACACAGCGACAAGGGGUCCCAAUGGGCGAGGCUGGAAUAACUUGAAUAGCAGAAUAAAGUAGCAUUGGAUUAUAAUGCACAGGGCUGAAGAAAUAUCGAUGAGUCUUUGCUGAUGUAAUAAGUGACUGAAUGAGCUGGGCAGAGUGGGACCUGUAGUUCAGCUACUCAGAGGCUGAGGUGGGAGCAUCAGUUGAGCCCAGGAGUCAAGGCCUAGUAAUAUCCCAUUUCCAAAAUAAAAGACUGAAUUAAUAAAUAGAUGGGAGAGAGGAGACAAUUGACCAUGCAGGAGGAGUCCAAAUAUUUGUUCUUUGAGGCAGGAUCUUCCUCUGUCAUUCAGAAGGCUGGAGUGCAAUGGUGCGCUGUUGCCUUGCUGCAGCCUGGACCUCCUGGGCUCAGGCAGUUGUCCCACCUCAGCCUCCCAAGUAGCUGGGACCAGAGGCAUGCACAUCCAGCCGAGUCCAAAUAGUGUAUGCAGAUAUGCCCUCACAGAGGUGACCUGAACUUUCUGAGUUGUGAGUGAGCUUCACCUGGGGACCUCCUUUUAGGUAGCAGGGAAAAAGAGGAGGGUGAGCCACACCCAGGCACCUCCUUCCAGAGAGCAUGUGCCUCAGCCUCCAGAGUAGCUGGGAUUGCAGACAUGUGCCACCAGCCCGACUAAUUUUUGUAUUUUUAGUCGAUACGGGGGGGUCUCACUAUGUUGCCCAGGCUGGUCUUGAACUCCUGGGUUCAGGUGAUCUUCCCACUUCAGCCUCCCAAAGUGCUGGGAUUACAGGUGAGAUAAAACUUCCUUAUUCACAGACUACAUGAUUGUCUAUAUAGAGAACACUCAUCUAAAGCAACAGCAAUGAUUGCCACAAAGACCCUCGUAGAGCCAGUAAGUGAGUUUGGAAUGUUCACCAGUAACACAUACAAAUUAAUCUUAGGGCUGCGUGCAGUGGCUCAUGCCUGUAAUCCCAGCACUUUGGGAGGCUGAGGCCGAGGCUGGUGGAUGGCCUAAGGUCAGGAGUUUGAGACCAGCUGACCAACAUGGUGAAACCCUGUGUCUACUAAAAAUAGGAAAACUAUCCAGGCAUGGUGGCGGGCACUGUAAUCCCAGCUACUCAGGAGGCUGAGGCAGGAGAAUCGCUUGAAUCCGGGAAGCAGAGGCUGCAGUGAGCCGAGAUCGCACCAUUGCACUCCAGCCUGAGCAACAAGAGUGGAACUCUGUCUCAAAAAAAAUAAAAGACCCGGUGUGGUGGCUCAUGCCUGUAAUCCCAACGCUCUUUGGGAGGCUGAGGCAGGCGUAUCACCAGGUCAGGAGUUGGAGAUCAGCCUGACCAACAUGGUGAAACCCUGUCUCUACUAAAAAUACAAAAAUUAGCCGGGUGUGGUGGCACACACCUGUAAUCGCAGCUACUCAGGAGGCUGAGACAGGAGAAUUGCUUGAACCUGGGAGGCAGAGGUUGCAGUGAGCUGAGAUCAUGCCACAUUUGAACCCGUGAGGCAGACGUUGCAGUGAGCCGAGAUCAUGUCACUGCACUCCAGCCUGGGCAACAGAGCCAGACUGUCUCAAAAAAAAAAAAAAAAUCUUACUUCUAUAGACAAUAAAACAUUGGAAACUGAAGUUAAAAACACAGUAGCUCCUGAGAGAGAGAGAGAGGUAUAAAUCUAACAAGACAAAACAGGAUCUGUAUGCUAAAAAGACUAUGUAUGUGGAGAGACGGCACACAGCACGCUCAUAGACUGGAAGACUGAACAUAAGAUGCCAGUCUCAGAAGGAUCUGUGAAAUUAACAAAAUUCCAAAACAUUGCAGUAGGACUCUUUUUAGAUUUAGAAAAGAUGAUUUUAAAAUGUAUACAGAAUGGUGAAGGAGCUAGCUAAAACAGUAAAAAGGAUAGAUAAAACAAUGUUUUAAAAAGAACAAAAAAGUUAGAUGAAUCACAUUACACAGUUUUAACAGACUUUAAAGCCACAAAAAUCAAGACUGUCGUAUUGGCAAAGAACAGACAGAUGGGUCAGUGAUCAGAGAGUCUAGAAACAGACCCACAUAAAUAGGGCCAUUUGAUCUUUGACAGCAGUGCAAACAAAAGCAACCCUGUGGAGAAAGGAUUGUCCAUUCAACAGAGCAGUGGGGCAGUUGGUCAUCCAUAUGGUAGAAAUGGAACCUUGGCCUAAACCUCACAUUGUACACAAUUAACUCCAAUCAUAUGUAAACGUAAAACAAAACUAUAAAAUGUUUGGAAGAAAACAGAAAAAUACCUUUGUACCUGAUGACAUUUGGUAGAGUUCUUAGACAUGAUCCCAAAGGCAUAAUCCACAGAAGAAUCCAUAAAAGAAAAAUUUGUAAAUUGGACUUUAUCAAAAUUAAAAACUUACUUUUUUGAGAUAGGGUCAUGCUGUGUUGUCCAGGCUGGAGUGUGGUGGUAAGUCAUAGUUCACUGCAGCCUCGACCUCCCGGGCUCAAGCCAUCUUCCUUCCUCAGCCUCCUGAGUAGCUGGGACUAGAGGUGCAAGCCACUAUUCCUGGUUUUAAAAAUUUUUUCCAGAGUCUGAGUCUUGCUGUAUUGCCCAGGCUGGUCUCAAAUUCCUAGCCUUAAGUGAUCCUUCCACCUUCGGCCCCAAAGUAGUUGAGAUUACAGGCAUGAGCCACCGUGCCUGACCUAAAAACGUUUGAACUACCAAAGACAGUGUGAAAAGAAUGAAAAGAUGAGGAGAAAAUAUUCACAAAUCACCUGUCAACUAAGGACCUGUAUUUGGAAUACACAGAGAACUCUUAAAACUCAACAGUAAGAAAACAGUCCAACUAAAAAGUGGAAAAGACCUGAUCAGACAUGCACCAGCAAUGACACAGCAUUGACUGUUGGGCACAGGAGAAGAGGCUUGACACCACCAGCCACCAGGAAAUGCAGAUUCAGCCACCACGCAGGACACGAGGCACCUGCACCACAGCCGCAGUGCAAGAGAAUGCUGGUGGUGCCCCAAGCUGCCAGGGUGUGGACCUGCUGGAAAUGGAAGACGGCAUGGUGGUUUCCUAUAAAGUUCAAUGUACACAGCCACAUGACCCAGCAAUCCCACUGUUGGGUAUUUAGAGAAUGAAAAACUUAAGUCCACAUAAAAACUGUACGUAAAUGUUUACUGAUGCCUUAUUCAUAAUCAUCAAAAGCUGAAAUUCAAAUGCCUUUCAUUGGGUGAACUGGUAAACUGUGGUAUAUCUAUGCAGUGAAAUACUCCUCUGCAGUGACAAUGGGGAGAGACUGACACAUUGGGCACCAUGGGGGUGGGAAGAGGUGAAGGAAGGUUGGGGGAAGGCGCCGUGGUCAGGUGUGGCACUAAGGAGAUUUGGGGGUGGAGCCAUUCUGUGUGUGGACUGUGGUGGUGGUCGCGUGACUGUACAUGUGUUAAAGCUUCAAACAAAAAAGUUAAAAAUUUUAGUUUAAAAUAUUAAAA
rnacentral:lncRNA from 1 species